UAAUACUUAGAGUUUGAUCCUGGCUCAGGACGAACGCUGGCGGUGCGCCUAAUGCAUGCAAGUCGAACGAGCGACCCGGGCUUGCCCGGUUAGCUAGUG
rnacentral:rRNA from 1 species